CGAAGAAUAAAGUAACUUGUUGUAUUGAUUGAUUGUUGUGUUUACAGAUUUACAAAGGUAGCUAUUUAUAGCCCCGUACAAAUAAUCUUCUUAACCGACUAAGACUCUAUCUCUAAUUCAAACAGAAAACAAAUAUCUACAAACACAAUCCGUGCUAAACUAAUUACUCCACGCUUCGUGGGCCGAAUUCCACCUUAUCCCUCCAUCUUUCCAAGCCCAUACAGGCCCACCUUAGUUCACCUUCCCGAUCGGCCGAUUUCUUAAAGGAUUGCCGAUUGGGAACCUGGCGCGUUCACCCUGAAGCGAGGUAAAAGCCACUUGACCGAUUCCACACUGUAGCACCUUUUGGCCGAUCCCCA
rnacentral:lncRNA from 1 species